AACGAACGCUGGCGGCAUGCCUAACACAUGCAAGUCGAACGAAACCUUCGGGUCUUUUGGCGCACGGGUGCGUAACGCGUGGGAACCUGCCCUUAGGUUCGGAAUAACUCCCCGAAAGGGGUGCUAAUACCGGAUAAUGUCUUCGGACCAAAGAUUUAUCGCCUUUGGGUGGGCCCGCGUUGGAUUAGCUGGUUGGUAGGGUAAAAGCCUACCAAGGCGGCGAUCCAUAACUGGUCUGAGAGGAUGAUCAGCCACACUGGGACUGGGACACGGCCGAGACCCUCCGGAGUGGGCGAAGGGGGGAAGAAGGAACAGGGGGCGAAAGCCGAAAGCCUCCGGGCCGGGAGAGUGAGUAAUGCGUGAGGAAUAAAAGGGUAUUUUACCGGGGACGUAAUGACGGUACCUGGUAAAAAAGCCCCGGCUAACUACGUG
rnacentral:rRNA from 1 species